rnacentral:rRNA from 1 species
UACAGAGGUCUCAAGCGUUGUUCGGAUUCAUUGGGCGUAAAGGGUGCGUAGGCGGCGCGGUAAGUCGAACGUGAAAUCCCCGGGCUCAACCCGGGAACUGCGUCCGAUACUGGAAGGCUUGAAUCCGGGAGAGGGAUGUGGAAUUCCAGGUGUAGCGGUGAAAUGUGUAGAGAUCGGGAGGAACACCGGUGGCGAAGGCGGGUCUCUGGGCAAUUCCUGACGCUGAGGCGCGACAGCGUGGGGAGCAAACAGG